UACAGAGGGUGCGAGCGUUAAUCGGAAUUACUGGGCGUAAAGCGUGCGUAGACGGUUAUGUAAGUCGGAUGUGAAAGCCCCGGGCUCAACCUGGGAAUUGCAUUCGAGACUGCAUAGCUAGGAUGCGGAAGAGGGAAGUGGAAUUUCCGGUGUAGCGGUGAAAUGCGUAGAUAUCGGAAGGAACAUCAGUGGCGAAAGCGACUUCCUGGUCCAGCAUCGACGUCAGGCACGAAAGCGUGGGGAGCAAACAGG
rnacentral:rRNA from 1 species